rnacentral:lncRNA from 1 species
CAAAGUUGUGACACAAACUGGAAAAAAGGAAGGUAUUGGUAUUCUGGUUUGCCGCUCCAUCGUCUAUCCAGGGCUCAGAUCAGAGACUGGACAUCACCUCGCUGCAGGGAUUCUGCUUACAAGCAAAGCCGCCCUGGGUAGCAAGCAGGGAAAAGCAGGCACGGGGGAAAAGCGAGAGUGGAAAACCCGGAGAAGUAAAUUAAAAGCAGAGAAAGGAAAGGCGGAGAGGGGAAGUGGAAAAAAAAAAAAAAAACCCAAAAUCCAACGAAAAGGAAGGAGAGCAGGAAAGGAGGCGAAGGGGGAGGCUGGCUCUCAGGCAAAAUGCUUCAAUCCCAGCGUGAGGAGCGCGCUCCAGGAGAGGAGUACCUGGAGUGCCGCCCGCCCCGGUCUCGGUGUCCCACCACGGCUCCUCCAGCGUGUCCCCCAUGCCGCCGCCGCCGCCGCGCCUGCGCACUGCCCGCGGGCCGGGCCGGGCGUGCCCGCGCUGCCGGACGGGGGCGGUGCUGCCUUGGGCACGGCUGGUACCGCGGCUGACAGCGCGUCUUACAGAACGGUCUUUUGAGAGAGAAACAGGCCUUUAAAUGCAUGCUGGGGAUUCUUUUAUUUUUUCCCUUUCUUUUAUUUUUUAGUGGAAAACAUAGAAGUGAGAGAAAGAGGGAAGGAAUUAAAACUAUUAUCCCGUUCUUCACAACACUCGAUUGCCUCAACCCGGUUUCAUACUGUAAAAUAUCUACUUCUUGGUUGAGGCAAUUCACGUAAUCUUUUCCGAGGAACAGACAGGUGCCUGCAAAAGGGGCGCGUCACCUUGGAAUGAGUGUUCGCGGCCCUUUGGGGCCGGAGCCCGCAGGACAAGCGUUCCCAUCCCGUAUCUCUUCCCGCAGGAGCCGUCCCGCCCCCAGCCCGGGCGUUACCGGCUGGAGCACGCCCCGAGCGGAGCCGCGCGAGUGAGACCGAGCCGUGUAAGGAGCGGAACUUCUCGUAAGGAGGCACUGUUAUUCCGUGUAUAACCCGCUCCAAUGGCUUUUCGCAGUUUCCAUUGAAGUAUACUAUUUUUUUCCCCUUUUGAGAAUGCAUGUGGGUAAAGAACGUGCAUGACAGAGAGCAUAUAGUGUUACGCUGCCCGGGGUUGCUAAUGGACUUCACCAAGUGAUUUUUAACCCUUGGAAACUGAAAUCUGUGAAUUUCCCCGAGUCGCGGAGUACGUCCGACCUGUGGCACGUUAAACACUGUGGGAGAAGUCGCUUAAUAAUCAAACCUACAUC